GAUCCGUACCCCAUCCCGCUCCACCGAGCGCACCAAGGUGCCUGAUUUGGCAGCUAUGGAGGCCAUCACCAAGGUCCUGCGAGUUUGAAGGACCAGAAGGUCCAAGGGCCUGCCCACCAAGGCCGCCAAGGUGAAGUGUGAAUCCAAGUUCGAAGCUGUGAAGCAUAUCAACAAAGACUAGCAUAUUAUGUGUUGUAAAUGUAGGCAGUAGUAGGCUUAUCUAGGCUGUAGUAUACUGUAACGUUUGUAAUAGACUAGUGUCGUG